GGUUGUUUUUCUCUCAAAUUUGUGUUUACCAACGCCCAAUCGAUCCACAUACCCCAACAAGUGGUAUCAGAGCGAGGUUAGAGGUGUUGGUCGAGUUUUUAGGUGACGGGCCAAAUUUGAUUUUUCGAAGCUUUGCUCGAAAUCCAAUUCUGACGGCACCAUUGGAUUCGUCUCGUUGAACGGAGUCCAACGCACCAAACGGCAACCUAAUCGGAGUUCAAACGAGCCCAGAAAUCGCGGUCAAAGUUUGGUUAACUUUGCCGGAGGUUCGCCGAGAACUCGCCGGAGAAGACGACGGUCAACUGUAGCGAACCAGUCAACUCUCUGAAAUUGCAGAUUGGUCCCUCAACUUUCAAAAAU
rnacentral:lncRNA from 1 species